UUGCUGUGAUGACCUCCACUUGGUUUCGCUUGUGGCUGAGAUUCAGAGGUGAUGCUUUCUCUUGGCUGUCUGAGCAG